ensembl:lncRNA
UUAUAUUGCCUUAAUGCAAAAAAAAAAAGUACUGGUCAUAAAAAGUCUCUAUUUUCUUAAUGCAUUAAUUUGAUUUAGUGUGAAAUUGAAAUAUGACCCAGACAUUUCUUAGUGAUAUUUACCAAAUAAUUGUAUGUGUGUGUGUGUGUGUGUGUGUGUGUGUGUGUGUGUGUAUAACAGACAGUCUAGUAAAAACCCCCAAAACCUCGAUUUAACUUCACUGAAAUUUCAUUUAUAGAGGUGGGACAGAAGGAGAACACAAGAUUGUCAAAGCAAAUAAAUGAAUACAUAGAUUAUUAUUAAAUUGAAUUGUUCCCCCGUUGGACAAAUCUACGUUCCUCCUUCCUCUCCCUGACCAUGACGUACGAGUCGUCCUGUCUCUGAACAGUUAGAUUAAUAGCCAUGCAUAAAAGAAUCACCAGCGCUUCCCUAACAACAGAAGAGCUGGUUUUCAUUAUCUUUUUUUUUUUUUUUUUGGUCUUUUAAAUAUCACUUGAACACGCACAACAAACACUAAUUCAACUGAAAUGCAUUUUCCUAUGGACAGAAACAUGGGUCAAUAAAGUAAAUAAGAGGGAGAAAAAGAAACGUAACAUUUAAAAUCAAACAAAAAAGUGUACAGCAAUUUGUCCCAUGAUAUUACUUUGGUCUCUAAAGCUCAUUUGGGUGUUUUUCAUCAUUCAAAAGAACUAACUACUACACAAGCUUUGGAUAAUUUCAGGCAAUCUUGACUCCCGUGGUCAAAGGUUUCAUAUGGUGACGCCAGAAUGUUUUCUAGUUGCUCUGACGCCACUUAAAUGCUAAGUUCGCACUUAAAAAUGGCUGAUUUUGAGGGAGCAUGCCAAAAACGAACAGGGAAAUUACUCAACUCAACAAGACAGUACAGAACAGUAAAAAGCUUCAAGUCACAAUAUUUCCAAAACUAUUAUUUAGCAGUAUUAUCUUCUACUAUCAUCGUUAUUGUUUCGUCAGAUUACCUUUACGUUACAAGUGUUUGAGGUAUAUCAGAAUUCUCAUUGUCAACACGUGCCUGCCAGCGUGAAAUGACAUGAUUGGUCGAAUGUCUGUGAAUAUAACCGAUGGAGGCAUAUGAUUGGACGACCACUGACAGUGCAGGUAUACCUCAGUUUUACACAAUUAUCACAAACACACACUUCCAGAAUACUGUAAAUUACACAAAAAUAGCUCUGUUGGAAGUGUGUGUGUGUGAAUCCAGAGGCGUCGGCACAUUACAUUUACAGUAAUAUCACAUGUUAAGCAUCACUAACUGCUCGUCUGUGACUCCUGCACACUUCAUUGAGAAAUAAAUACACAUAAAUAGAUGCAGCAAAUAGAAAAACAACUACUUUCAUUAAAAAACAAAAACAAAGUGCUUCUUUGUCAGAAUGGAAACAGAGUCCCUUGUUUUUAUGCAAAAUAUGCAGCUAUGUAAAAUACAUGUUUUUAAAAGUGUGUGUGUGUGUGUGUGUGUGUGUGUGUGUGUGUAGCAAUUCCACCCGUGGUUGAAGGAAAAAGGCACUCAACUUGUCCUGCAUAGUUGCCACUUCCUUCACCGUGGCAUAAUGCAGUCUGACUACUCUGUGUGCAUGUGUGUGUGUGUGUGUGUGUGUGUGUGUGUGUGUGUUUACCUUAGUUUGAGGACAAAAUUGUGAGAUUAAGUUGCGAACAGUUCACCAAAAAUUUUGAUUUGAGGAAAAUGUUCUCAUCCUCCGGCCAUCCAGGAUGUGGAUGAGUUUGUUUCUUCAUCAGAU